rnacentral:rRNA from 1 species
CAUAUCUAUACGACGAGGAUAACGGCUGGAAACGGCUGCUAAGACUGGAUAGGAAUAUAAGGGGCAUCCCUAAUAUUUUAAAAGACUUUGGUAUGCGUAUAGGAUGGCCUGCGGCGCAUUAGCUAGUUGGUGGGGUAAUAGCCUACCAAGGCAAUGAUGCGUAGCCGGACUGAGAGGUUGACCGGCCACAUUGGGACUGAGACACGGCCCAGACUCCUACGGGAGGCAGCAGUAGGGAAUUUUCGGCAAUGGGGGGAACCCUGACCGAGCAACGCCGCGUGAAUGAAGAAGUACUUAGGUAUGUAAAGUUCUUUUAUUGGGGAAGAAAGGCUAGAGCAAUCUAGAUUGACGGUACCCAUUGAAUAAGCCCCGGCUAACUAUGUGCCAGCAGCCGCGGUAAUACAUAGGGGGCAAGCGUUAUCCGGAAUUAUUGGGCAUAAAGGGUGCGUAGGCGGCACGUUAAGUUUAAGGUAUAAGCUCAUGGCUCAACCAUGGGAGGCUUUAGAAACUGGCGUGCUAGAGUGCAGUAGAGGCAAGUGGAAUUCCAUGUGUAGCGGUAAAAUGCGUAAAUAUAUGGAGGAACACCAGUAGCGAAGGCGGCUUGCUG